AACUGUGGGACUUUAGAGGGAUUCACCCAGAGAGAGGCUGUAAGAGAAAAUGGCUCAGAACAAAUGAAAUAUUCUAGGAUGUAUGUAAUUUUUGCCCUGUAUUUUAAAGUCCAGUUCAAUGUGACUGAUUAAAUUUUAAGAUCAGUCUGUCUGCAUCAUGAGAUAAUAAUGUUGGCCUCAGACCUGUGAUGCUGAUGAUGUCACAACCGGGUGAGUAAACUUGCUCACUGGCUUUCCCAGGAAAUCUCCCUGAGGUUGGCUAGAACACCUGAAGACCUGGGGGGGGGGGGAGUACACCUGGACUGGCCAUGUCUGAAGAAAUGGCAAACAAGGAAAACCAUAAUCCUGAGGCUAAGUCAAAAAGUAGAGCUGAGAAGAAAACAGGCAACCGGAGGUUCAAUCCAUUCAGUUUAUUCUCCGAGGGACCAAAAAAGGGUUGUAUGACAAAGUAGAAAUAGUUGUCUGUGUCUGCUGUAUAUUCAGCGAGCCUGCCAGAAGAGCCCACCCAGCCGCCCUGACGCCCAUCAAGCUUCCCCAGGUGAACAAAGUGCUGGGCUAGACCAGCUCCCAGGGACAGUGCACCAGCCGCAAAUGAACACCAUGCGAAUCCAAUAAAAUGUCCUUGUGGUUCUCCCCCCCCCCA
rnacentral:lncRNA from 1 species